AUACAGAGGGUGCAAGCGUUGUCCGGAUUUAUUGGGUUUAAAGGGUGCGUAGGUGGCGUGUUAAGUCAGUGGUGAAAGCCUGCAGCUCAACUGUAGAGGUGCCAUUGAUACUGACAUGCUUGAGUAUGGACGAGGUAGGCGGAAUUUGUGGUGUAGCGGUGAAAUGCAUAGAUACCACAAAGAACACCGAUAGCGAAGGCAGCUUACUGGACCAUAACUGACACUGAGGCACGAAAGUGUGGGUAGCGAACGGGAUUAGAAACCCCAGUAGUCC
rnacentral:rRNA from 1 species